GACGAACGCUGGCGGCGUGCUUAACACAUGCAAGUCGAACGGAAAGGCCCUGCUUUUGUGGGGUGCUCGAGUGGCGAACGGGUGAGUAACACGUGAGUAACCUGCCCUUGACUUUGGGAUAACUUCAGGAAACUGGGGCUAAUACCGGAUAGGAGCUCCUGCUGCAUGGUGGGGGUUGGAAAGUUUCGGCGGUUGGGGAUGGACUCGCGGCUUAUCAGCUUGUUGGUGGGGUAGUGGCUUACCAAGGCUUUGACGGGUAGCCGGCCUGAGAGGGUGACCGGCCACAUUGGGACUGAGAUACGGCCCAGACUCCUACGGGGGGCAGCAGUGGGGAAUCUUGCACAAUGGGCGGAAGCCUGAUGCAGCAACGCCGCGUGCGGGAUGACGGCCUUCGGGUUGUAAACCGCUUUCGCCUAUGACGAAGCGUGAGUGACGGUAAUGGGUAAAGAAGCACCGGCUAACUACGUG
rnacentral:rRNA from 1 species